rnacentral:rRNA from 1 species
GAUGAACGCUGGCGGCGUGCCUAAUACAUGCAAGUCGAGCGAAUGGAUUAAGAGCUUGCUCUUAUGAAGUUAGCGGCGGACGGGUGAGUAACACGUGGGUAACCUGCCCAUAAGACUGGGAUAACUCCGGGAAACCGGGGCUAAUACCGGAUAACAUUUUGAACCGCAUGGUUCGAAAUUGAAAGGCGGCUUCGGCUGUCACUUAUGGAUGGACCCGCGUCGCAUUAGCUAGUUGGUGAGGUAACGGCUCACCAAGGCAACGAUGCGUAGCCGACCUGAGAGGGUGUUCGGCCACACUGGGACUGUGGAACGGCGAAGACUCCUACGGAAGGCAGCAGUAGGGAAUCUUCCGCAAUGGACGAAAGUCUGACGGAGCAACGCCGCGUUAGUGAUGAAGGCUUUCGGGUCGUAAAACUCUGUUGUUAGGGAAGAACAAGUGCUAGUUGAAUGAGCUGGCACCUUGACGGUACCUAACCAGAAAGCCACGACUAACUACGUGCCAGCCGCCGCAGUAA